AUUGAACGCUGGCGGCAUGCCUUACACAUGCAAGUCGAACGGCAGCACGGGUGCUUGCACCUGGUGGCGAGUGGCGAACGGGUGAGUAAUACAUCGGAACAUGUCCUGUAGUGGGGGAUAGCCCGGCGAAAGCCGGAUUAAUACCGCAUACGAUCCACGGAUGAAAGCGGGGGACCUUCGGGCCUCGCGCUAUAGGGUUGGCCGAUGGCUGAUUAGCUAGUUGGUGGGGUAAAGGCCUACCAAGGCGACGAUCAGUAGCUGGACUGAGAGGACGACCAGCCACACUGGGACUGAGACACGGCCCAGACUCCUACGGGAGGCAGCAGUGGGGAAUUUUGGACAAUGGGCGAAAGCCUGAUCCAGCAAUGCCGCGCGUGUGAAGAAGGCCUUCGGGUUGUAAAGCACUUUUGUCCGGAAAGAAAUCCUUGACUCUAAUACAGUCGGGGGAUGACGGUACCGGAAGAAUAAGCACCGGCUAACUACGUG
rnacentral:rRNA from 1 species